GAUGAAGAACGUAGCGAAAUGCGAUACGUAAUGUGAAUUGCAGAAUUCAGUGAAUCAUCGAAUCUUUGAACGCACAUUGCGCCCGCCAGUAUUCUGGCGGGCAUGCCUGUUCGAGCGUCAUUUCAACCAUCAAGCCCCAGGCUUGUGUUGGGGACCUGCGGCUGCCGCAGGCCCUGAAAACCAGUGGCGGGCUCGCUAGUCACACCGAGCGUAGUAGCAUACACAUCGCUCAGGGCGUGCUGCGGGUUCCGGCCGUUAAACCCCUUUUUUACCCAAGGUUGACCUCGGAUCAGGUAGGAAGACCCGCUGAACUUAAGCAUAUCAAUAAGCGGAGGA
rnacentral:misc_RNA from 1 species